UUUCAUUCUGUUUGUGCUGAAGGAGCAGGACAUCACAAACACAGUGACUCAUUUAACUAUGGACACAGUUCAUCUUUUAAUGCACUUGUGAUUCAGGAGCCUGGGAAAGCUUCUGAGGCAAGUUCCACCUUAAAAACACAAUAUCAGAAUGCCACUGGAUUCCAAACAUCCUUUAUUUUAUAUCUGCUGCCAUAGACAGUAAUUGAACAGUGCUGUCAUCAGUGUCAGUGGGAAAAGGAACGUGGGUCUUCUUCUCCUGAAGAUGUCAUGUACAUUAAGAAGCCAGUCCAAAAUCCUGGAGUUAAGUACAAAAAGCAACUGUUUGAAUUAUAAAAUACUGUAUAUACAGAUAUAAAAACGUCUCAGAAAGUGUCCCACAAAGUUUCUGAACUCUCAAGAGCAAGUCUUCAGCAGGGUAAGUAGGUUGUUGUCUUCAAAGGUGAGCAUCAGUUCAUUAGAGCAGAAUGUCUCAAUCUUUAUCUUCCUAUAUUACAGGUGACAGACUCUGAUUUUCAUCCCAGCCAGGGAUAACGUGGUGAUCCUAGUAUUGAAGUGUUUGUUUCCUGGAGCUAUUAAUUUUACAAGCACACUCUCUAUAUAUAAAAAUGAAAUUUCAAAGAAAUUUAUACAACAGCUAGACUUUAUAAAAAUAUAGAUCUAUAAUUUUACACCAGGAAUUAUCCAAGCUGGAGCUCUUCAGGAAGAACUGGCUUUCAGCUUGGACAGCAGCAUCUCAUUCUUACGGCAUUCCUGUUAACAGAGAGCAAACAAGUGAGGAGGAAUUGCUCAAACUCUGCCACCUGUAUCUCCACAUCAACAGAACCAAACCCUUUCUUUCAGUUUGAAACAUCUCCACAAUCCAAAGCAGCCUGGAGUGAGUGAUGAGGUGAAGAUAAUAUUGAUUCAUCCAUAAUGUUAUUCCAAUGGCAAUAUUAAUUAAAUUUAUGACAUGCAAGCCAGAAGGAACACUGCUUGACCACCCACCUGAAGUUUCCGGAUGUAGCUAAAGCAAAUUUUGCUUUUUACUUAUAAGUAGAAUAAAUCUGAAAUGGGCCUUA